GGGCUGUAUCGGUUUGCCACAUUUGUUAUUUUGCAUUGUUGUCCACCACCGUGAAGGACAGACAUGUCUGUGCUGACCCCGACAGCAAGUGGGUAGAGGACGCCAUUUAGCACAUAAAGAACAAAAGGACUGCAGCCUGAACGUGAUGGCACCCACACAAACAAUCUGUUGGGUGAUGACAGAUAUGACACAAGUCUCUUUCCCAGUUAUGGUGUCUGUCUGCCCACUGUUAAGAACAACAUUUGAAUUACGUUUAAUUUGUUAUUGAAUGUGUAGUUGUGGCUGGAAAAAGUACUGCAAUGUCAAGAUGUAAAUGUUCAGUACAAGAAGUUAUAACGUAGCUAUAUGUUUUGAAUCGUGGUGUGGUUCACUGAAUACUACAGGUCAAUGGACACCAACACUGAGCACCAGCUCAACACAAGAUAAUCUCUCGUUAAAACAUCAAUAUGCGCAAAAAUCACCCGCACAGCUGAUCUCAAUUGCAGCCAUUACUGGCCACCAUAUUAUUGCUCCCUACAUUUGAUGUCGGUGUUUAACUUUAAGUCCUGGUUGCUGCCAACCUUUUUCAAGACUAUUUAUGCCUCUGGUGGGUAUUAUGUUCAGUAUAAAUGAAACCUGAUAUUUGAGCAGACUAAGUCCAAAUUGAACUAUUUCACAUCAUUUCAUACAAUUGAAAUAAGGUAUUUCCUCAUUUACCAGAGAGAAUCUACUGUGACAAUGUACUCUACACAUUUUGUUAAUGUAAAGCUUAUGUUGGUAUACUUACUUGUAAUUUCCAAAUCAUUUAACCCAUGAAUAAAACCUUAA